UACAGAGGGUGCAAGCGUUGUUCGGAGUUAUUGGGCGUAAAGCGCGUGUAGGCGGCCUGUUAUGUCGGGUGUGAAAGCCCUCAGCUUAACUGAGGAAGUGCGCCCGAAACUGGCAGGCUUGAGUGUCGGAGAGGAUAGCGGAACACCCGGUGUAGAGGUGAAAUUCGUAGAUAUCGGGUAGAACACCAGUGGCGAAGGCGGCUAUCUGGACGACAACUGACGCUGAGACGCGAAAGCGUGGGGAGCAAACAGG
rnacentral:rRNA from 1 species